CUUGUCCUUAGAGGCAUUGCAGGUGUAGCUGCUGCAUCACAUGUGUAUCAGUAGGUGGCAGAGAGGAGAGAGGCUGUGUCUACACUCAGUGUACUGACCCUGUGAACAUCUGAAUGAUGAGUAGCCUACAUU